rnacentral:misc_RNA from 1 species
AACGCACAUUGCGCCCGCCAGUAUUCUGGCGGGCAUGCCUGUCCGAGCGUCAUUUCAACCCUCGAACCCCUCCGGGGGGUCGGCGUUGGGGAUCGGGACCCCUCACCGGGUGCCGGCCCUGAAAUACAGUGGCGGUCUCGCCGCAGCCUCUCCUGCGCAGUAGUUUGCACAACUCGCACCGGGAGCGCGGCGCGUCCACGUCCGUAAAACACCCAACUUCUGAAAUGUUGACCUCGGAUCAGGUAGGAAUACCCGCUGAACUUAA